GAUGAACGCUGGCGGCGUGCUUAACACAUGCAAGUCGAACGAAGCACCUUGAUUUGAUUCUUCGGAUGAAGAUCUUGGUGACUGAGUGGCGGACGGGUGAGUAACGCGUGGGUAACCUGCCUCAUACAGGGGGGAUAACAGUUAGAAAUGACUGCUAAUACCGCAUAAGACCACAGCACCGCAUGGUGCAGGGGUAAAAACUCCGGUGGUAUGAGAUGGACCCGCGUCUGAUUAGGUAGUUGGUGGGGUAACGGCCUACCAAGCCGACGAUCAGUAGCCGACCUGAGAGGGUGACCGGCCACAUUGGGACUGAGACACGGCCCAAACUCCUACGGGAGGCAGCAGUGGGGAAUACCGCACAAUGGGGGAAACCCUGAUGCAGCGACGCCGCGUGAGCGAUGAAGUAUUUCGGUAUGUAAAGCUCUAUCAGCAGGGAAGAAAAUGACGGUACCUGACUAAGAAGCACCGGCUAAAUACGUGCCAGCAGCCGCGGUAA
rnacentral:rRNA from 1 species